AUUUAAAUAGCUUAAAUUAGAGCAUAAUAUUGAAGAUAUUAAGGUAAUGUAAAUUUUUAAAUA
rnacentral:tRNA from 1 species